GAGGACGGCGGUGGGGACAAUAACUACUCCGGCGGCGGCGUCGACUCGCCGCGGCAUUUGUUGAGGAAGCGCCGGAGCCGAGGGAGGGUGAAGGCCAAUGGUUACAACCGCCGUGGCUCCGCUUCGCUUUCGGACGUGACCGCCCUUUCUUCCGGACGUGACGGCCAUUUCUGGAGACGGAGAUGAGAGGCGGAAUGGCCAGCUCCACGUCGACGGGAUCCCUCAUGACCUGCCGAGGUUGCGCAUGCUACCGGAAGGUGAUGAACACGGCUUGAAUGAUGUGCUUUUAAACUUGUUCUUGUUUGGAUCAUAGUUGACUAAUUGAUUAGUUGAUAUCAUGAGUAUUAGCCAGCUAAGUAGCUAACUGAUCACAGUGAUUAUUCUUAUUUAGGAGAUACUGCAGAAUUAGGUAAGAUCAAAGGUAGAAACUAGAUCAAUUAAGAAACUUGAUCAUAUAAGAAUUGACAUAGAAACUGAUAAUGAUCAUAGUAUCAUGUAACUGAUGGUCUGAUAUUCCAAUUCCAUUUUUCCAGGUAAAUCAACUGGACAUAC
rnacentral:lncRNA from 1 species